GUAGGGGGUAAACUGCAUGGCAGACACUUGCAAAAUGUCUUCUCACAGCUACUUGUGACUGACAGUACUUAAUCUGGUACAGUCUCUCCCAGGAGGAGUCAAUGGGGUCAGCUUAUAGUUUCUUGUGUAAUCGGUGAACUCAUCCCAUGGCUUUUUUAUAGAUUCAUUUUCUGUAGAGGAAAAAAAAAAAGAACAUUCACUGUAAAAUAAAGUUAUUUUUCAUUCAUCAAAAGUUGAUAUUUAAAACAUUUUUUUUUCUAAAGAUGAAUGACAGAACAUUUUUGAGACUAAAUAUUGGUGGUUAAAAUCUGAUCCUAGACUUCAGGUUCAACCCAGCACUGUGUGACCUGGGACAGAUCGCCUAAACUGACAAAGUAAGAAAAGCGAGUAAUGAAUAUACCUCUGCAUGAGUGAAGUACAGCAAAUGAACGAGCCAUGUCGAGAACACUCUGCACAGAGUGAUGCUGUUCUGAGUAAAUAUUUCCUUAUGAUUACUUGUUUUCUAAAAGCAUCAGAAUUUCCAACAUGAUUAUUGAUAUAAUUUAUCUAUAUAUGAGGUAUGUAAGUAUAUUCAUAACAUAACCAGUGACUUUGAUACUGUGGCAACUUUAAAAAAAAAAUCUGAAGAUAAGCUGAAAUUUGUAUUUAAUUCAGUGUCACCAGACUCCACAAAUGUGGCUACCCCUAAGUUUCUCUUGUUUUUUUCAUCUUACAUCCUGUUGUAUUCUUUGAGAGGUCAUCUUUCCUGUUCUACUCACCCACAUGUUCUGAACAUUAUUUCAUUGUUUACUUAGAAACACCAUGAGUGGGUACUUCUAAAAUAGUUUUAGAAAAUUAAGAGUAAUCUGAACUUAAAUUCACCUAUGAACUUUAAUUUUAUGUGUUUGGCCUAAAAAAGGACAAAUGAACCAUGAGUUAAUCACUCUUUUACAAUACUGUCAGAGUAGCCUGGACUGUAUAAUGAGACCUAUCCUUUUACAAGGGAAGAACAAAAACUAUAAAGUCUUAUAAAGAAACAUAAAAUUGCUUUAUUAUGGGUAUAAACUGUAUUUGCAAAAAUAAUAUUCCUUAAAUUUAUUUAAGCCUGAUUUCUCUUCCUUAGAAGAGCAUCCAAAUAAUUUUUAUUUUUGCUUUAAAUUUCUUUGCGAAUUUUUUUUAAACUUUCAAAUAUUUAAACAGUAUACUUUAACUUUUGGUUUGUAAUGAUGGUAUCUACAGCUGAUCAGCAGACUCACAUUGAAUUUAUAGCAAGAAAUCCUAAUUUCCAAGGCAGUCAUAGGAAUUUAUUUUGUUUUGAUCUGUCUUGUUUUUAGAUCUAAUCCAGGCAUUGUGGUGCACACUAUAAACCCAAGAGGCUGAGUAGGUAGACUUUGAAUAGGGAGAUCCCGUCUCUAAAAAUAAAAAAAAAAAAAGUUAGAUCGUUUUAUAAAUACAACUAUUAGGAGUUUAGAGUCUCAUCUGUUACUUUAGCAUAGGUGAGACUUAACAGGUAAAUGUUAUCAUAUCUCAGUGUCAGUUGAGUGGCUAGCUGAGAAGCAUCUGAAUUCUGCACUAGAAAGUCUUGGAAGUACAGAAUCAGGAAAAACAUGGUGUGUAUUUGGAUCAUAUCCUACAUGCAUUUACUUUUGUUUAAAAGUUGUUUACAAUGUCCCUGGUUUCAGGAUUGGCAGUGUUGUGAGCAUCAGUGCUAGUGUAAGUCCCCGAAGCUGGGCCUCCACUCAAGUCCCGGGAUGAGCGGGCCAGCACCCCAAUGACCCGAGAGAAAACCACACCUGAUGCAAGCUGCAAGAGGUUUUAUUAUCAGCUAGCUGAGGACAAACUCCUCAUACCUUGCAGGGCAGGGGAGUUCGACCCCAAGCGGUAACAGUAGGGGGCUUUUAACAGCUGGCUGAGGAAUUGGGAGGUGUUGGGAGGAGAGUUGACUACAGCUCCUUUCUGGCGAGGGGGGGAGUGAGCUGCAGCCUCCUCUCUGGUGUCUAUCUCCAUGUCCUUGUAGGUCUUCCUACAAUUAUCGCAUCUCUGGCUAUAAGGCACAGAAACAAAAAGGCUUUUUGCUGGCUAUAGAGAACAAAGAGCUUCUUUCUGGCUGUAUUUUUAGAGAUCAGGGAAAACAGGCUUGGGGACCAUCUAGGGGCUUUACCUUCCAGGGAGAAACACUCUAAGUCGGGGUCUCACACUAGGUGGCAUGUCUAAAUUUCCAAGGAUGGCCACAGAGUACAGAUUUUCUUUUUCCUGUAAAUUGGAUCAGGAACACCAAAGUAGAUGAGUUUCAGAAAACAUAUUUUGAGACCAUGGUUCAGUUUAUUUUGUGCUUUUUAUUGUUUUUGUCUUAAGAACAAGGUUGGCCAGGUGGUAGUGGUACAUAUCUUUAAUCCUAACUCUUAGGUAACAGAGGCAGGCAGAUCUCUGUGAGUUUGACACCAGCCUGCUCUACAGAGAGAGAGAAAAAGGGGAGGUGUGAAUUCCAGGACAGCCAGCGCUACACAGAGAAACCUUGUCUUGGAAAACU
rnacentral:lncRNA from 1 species